rnacentral:rRNA from 1 species
AUUGAACGCUGGCGGCAGGCCUAACACAUGCAAGUCGAGCGGAGCGGCGGACGGGUGGGUAAUGCCUAGGAAGCUGCCUGGUCGUGGGGGAUGACGUCCGGAAAGGGGCGCUAAUACCGCAUACUAUCAGAUGAGCCAAGGUCGGAUUAGUUAGUUGGUGGGGUAAAGGCCUACCAAGGCGACGAUCCGUACCUGGUCUGAGAGGAUGAUCAGGCACACUGGAACUGGGACACGGUCCAGACUCCUACGUGAGGCAGCAGUGGGGAAUAUUGGACAAUGGGCGAAAGCCUGAUCCAGCCAUGCCGCGUGUGUGAAGAAGGCCUUAGGGUUGUAAAGCACUUUCAGUUGGGAGGCGUUACCAACAGAAUAAGCACCGGCUAACUUCGUGCCAGCAGCCGCGGUAAUUC